AUAGUUUUCUUUUAAAUAGAUUCAUAUCUACAAAAAAGUUAAAAGGAUUAAAAUCUGCCGUAGGUGCAAAUUUAAGACCUUUAUUAAAAAUAUUUGCCUGUUCUAAGGUAAAAGAUUGUUCUGUUAAAUUAAAAAUUCCUUCUAGAUUGAUGUCUUGCCUCUUUUCUCUCUGUGCUGGUCUCUUCUUUCUUCUCUGUCUCCUUCUUCCUCCAGCGACCUUUGUCUUUUCCCCUGUGAUUCCCAGGGUUGGGCAUUGUCUACCCACUUUCUCCUGUUUUGAAUCAGGUCCAUCCGAAAAAAAGAAGGUGAUGGUGGGGUAUCUGGAGGGGAAGGGGUAUUCUCAUUUACUUUUCUUUGUCCUCUGUGUUGGGGAAUUGGCUUC
rnacentral:lncRNA from 1 species